rnacentral:antisense_RNA from 1 species
GUAGACCUUAGGCGAGAGAAGGCAUGUACUUUCCCUAAGAAGCGGGAGGAGACAAAUAUAGGGCAGUGGAAUGAGAAGAACCUCGCGGGAUGGGAGGCCGCGGAGGGAAGCGCCGUCUUUGGUUACCUGGGGAGCGGGAGCAGCUGCGGAUCCCUUAUGAAGUGCCCGGAUGAAGCUCCAGCGCUCACGCGCUUUCCGCAUUGAGUGCAGCGCCAUCUUGAGAAGGGCGGAGCCGCCUUGUUCGGAAUGACGUCUGUUCAGAGAGCCAAUCCCAGUCUCGCGACUCCUGCUUGCUGGGCGCGGCCUGGGCCUCCAGGCUGCGCAGCGCAGCCGCUAUCGGGGGAGUGCAGUUUUUGCCAAGUAGGGGAACAGGAGAGUCAGCCUGAGAAGGAAAUGUGAUGAUGGAAACAGAGGUUGGAAGAUGGAAGGGGACCCAGAGCCAAGGAAUACAGGUAGAAAAGAAAAGCCUGGAUUCUCCCCUAAAGCCUCCAGAUGGAACACAGCCCUGCCUCCAACUUGAUUUGAGAACUUCUUACCCCAAGAACCUUGCCAACACGUCUUAUCUUCUGUGUUUUUGAUAAUAGCCAUUCUAAUAGGCAUGAAGUGAUAUCUCAUUGUGGUUUUAAUUUGCAUUUCCCUGAUGAUUUGUGAUGUUGAAUAUUUUUUUCAUACACCUACUAGCCAUUUGUAUGUCUUCAUUUGAGAAAUUCUAUUCAAGUCUUCUGACCAGCUUUUAAUUAGGUUAUUUGCUUUCUUACUAUUGAGUUGUUUCAAUUCCUUAUAUAUUUUGGGUAUUAACCCCUUGUCAGAUGUUUGGUUUGCAAAUAUAUUUUCUCAUUCUGCAGGUUGUCUCUUUACUCUGUUCAUUGUUUUUGUAGUUAUGCAGAAGCUUUGUAGUUUGAUGUAAUCCCAGUUGUCCAAUUUUGCUUUUGUUGCUUGUCAUUUGGGGAUAUACCCAUAACUGAUCUUAGCCAAAAGCCUGAGAAGUGAUUUGGGUCAUAUUAAAAAAUAUCAUUGCCAA